rnacentral:rRNA from 1 species
GACGAACGCUGGCGGCGUGCCUAAUACAUGCAAGUCGAACGCAGUGGGGACGGGUGAGUAACACGUGGGUAACCUCCCAUCAGAGGGGAUAACAUUUGGAAACAGGUGCUAAACCGAUACUGAUGGAUGGACGCUCGGUACAUUAGCCAGUUGGUGAGGUAACGGCUCACCAAGGCCACUAUGCAUAGCCGACCGGAGAGGGUGCGAGGCCACACUUGAACUGCGACACGGCCCAGACUCCUACGGAAGGCAGCAGUAGAGAAUCUUCGGCAAUGGGCGAAAGUCUGACCGAGCAACGCCGCGUGAGUGAAGAAGGUUUUCGGAUCGUAAAACUCUGUUGUUAGAGAAGCGGUAUCUAACCAGAGAGCCCCGACUAACUACGUGCCAGCAGCCGCGGUAAUAC